GAUGAACGCUGGCGGCGUGCCUAAUACAUGCAAGUCGAGCGAACGGACGAGAAGCUUGCUUCUCUGAUGUUAGCGGCGGACGGGUGAGUAACACGUGGAUAACCUACCUAUAAGACUGGGAUAACUUCGGGAAACCGGAGCUAAUACCGGAUAAUAUUUUGAACCGCAUGGUUCAAAAGUGAAAGACGGUCUUGCUGUCACUUAUAGAUGGAUCCGCGCUGCAUUAGCUAGUUGGUAAGGUAACGGCUUACCAAGGCAACGAUGCAUAGCCGACCUGAGAGGGUGAUCGGCCACACUGGAACUGAGACACGGUCCAGACUCCUACGGGAGGCAGCAGUAGGGAAUCUUCCGCAAUGGGCGAAAGCCUGACGGAGCAACGCCGCGUGAGUGAUGAAGGUCUUCGGAUCGUAAAACUCUGUUAUUAGGGAAGAACAUAUGUGUAAGUAACUGUGCACAUCUUGACGGUACCUAAUCAGAAAGCCACGGCUAACUACGUGCCAGCAGCCGCCNUAAUACGUAGGUGGCAAGCGUUUAUCCCGAUUUAUUGGGCGUAAGCGCGCGUAGCGGUUUUUUAGUCUGAUGUGAAAGCCCACGGCUCAACCGUGGAGGGUCAUUGGAAACUGGAAAACUUGAGUGCAGAAGAGGAAAGUGGAAUUCCAUGUGUAGCGGUGAAAUGCGCAGAGAUAUGGAGGAACACCAGUGGCGAAGGCGACUUUCUGGUCUGUAACUGACGCUGAUGUGCGAAAGCGUGGGGAUCAAACAGGAUUAGAUACCCUGGUAGUCCACGCCGUAAACGAUGAGUGCUAAGUGUUAGGGGGUUUCCGCCCCUUAGUGCUGCAGCUAACGCAUUAAGCACUCCGCCUGGGGAGUACGACCGCAAGGUUGAAACUCAAAGGAAUUGACGGGGACCCGCACGAGCGGUGGAGCAUGUGGUUUAAUUCGAAGCAACGCGAAGAACCUUACCAAAUCUUGACAUCCUUUGACAACUCUAGAGAUAGAGCCUUCCCCUUCGGGGGGCAAAGUGACAGGUGGUGCAUGGUUGUCGUCAGCUCGUGUCGUGAGAUGUUGGGUUAAGUCCCGCAACGAGCGCAACCCUUAAGCUUAGUUGCCAUCAUUAAGUUGGGCACUCUAAGUUGACUGCCGGUGACAAACCGGAGGAAGGUGGGGAUGACGUCAAAUCAUCAUGCCCCUUAUGAUUUGGGCUACACACGUGCUACAAUGGACAAUACAAAGGGCAGCGAAACCGCGAGGUCAAGCAAAUCCCAUAAAGUUGUUCUCAGUUCGGAUUGUAGUCUGCAACUCGACUACAUGAAGCUGGAAUCGCUAGUAAUCGUAGAUCAGCAUGCUACGGUGAAUACGUUCCCGGGUCU
rnacentral:rRNA from 1 species